UGGAAGAGAAAUGGCCAAAGGUUGUUCAAUGAUAAUGAAAUAAUUUUCAGUAAUGCCAAAAGUAUGCAUGUAGGAAGGAUUUAGAAACCAUCUAGAUGGAACAGUAGCAACAAUAGUUGCUUGAUCGAACAUGCGGGUUAUAUUCUAACAUAUAAGAUUUAAUUCAAAUUACCAAUAGUAAUUCGAGAUGGCGAAAAAGAAACAACAGUGUAAGCAGGACCACGUGAAGUUAUACUGAGCCCAACGUUAUAAACAGUACCGUCGUUCAUCACGUGAGGAUGAGAACCUACGUAUAUUUGAAGAAACGAUAAAAUCUUUUUAUGCCUCUGACGUCACUUACUCUACCCUUGGUUUCCAAGGUUUCUGGAUCGAUCCGAUGGAUUAUGGGAGAUUCUGUGAACGUGUAAUACUCGUCACCAAGUGGA